rnacentral:rRNA from 1 species
GAUGAACGCUGGCGGCGUGCCUAAUACAUGCAAGUCGAGCGAACAGACGAGGAGCUUGCUCCUCUGACGUUAGCGGCGGACGGGUGAGUAACACGUGGAUAACCUACCUAUAAGACUGGGAUAACUUCGGGAAACCGGAGCUAAUACCGGAUAACAUGUUGAACCGCAUGGUUCAACAGUGAAAGACGGUUUUGCUGUCACUUAUAGAUGGAUCCGCGUCGCAUUAGCUAGUUGGUAAGGUAACGGCUUACCAAGGCAACGAUGCGUAGCCGACCUGAGAGGGUGAUCGGCCACACUGGAACUGAGACACGGUCCAGACUCCUACGUGAGGCAGCAGUAGGGAAUCUUCCGCAAUGGGCGAAAGCCUGACGGAGCAACGCCGCGUGAGUGAAGAAGGUCUUCGGAUCGUAAAACUCUGUUAUUAGGGAAGAACAAAUGUGUAAGUAACUAUGCACGUCUUGACGGUACCUAAUCAGAAAGCCACGGCUAACUACGUG